GACAUGGUGGUUUAGUGGUUAGCAUGGCUGCUUUGCAUUUCCAGGGUUGGGGGUUCAAUUCCUGCCUCUGGCA